GUGCUUGCUUCCGCAGCACAUAUACUAAAAUUGGAACGAUACAGAGAAGAUCAGCAUGGCCCCUGUGUAAGGAUGACAUGCAAAUUCAUGAAGCGUUCCAUAUUUUC
rnacentral:snRNA from 1 species